GACCGCACCGGUGGCCUAGUGGUUAGAGCGUUCGCCUCGGGUGCGGAAGGUCGCGCGUUUGACCCCGGCCGAGUCA